rnacentral:rRNA from 1 species
GUCCACGCCGUAAACUAUGGACACUAGGUGUGGGGGGUAUCGACCCCCUCCUGUGCCGAAGCUAACGCAAUAAGUGUCCCGCCUGGGGAGUACGGCCGCAAGGCUAAAACUCAAAGGAAUUGACGGGGGCCCGCACAAGCAGCGGAGCGUGCGGUUUAAUUCGUCGCAACGCGAAGAACCUUACCAAGGCUUGACAUGCUAGUGGUACCGAUCCGAAAGGUGAGGGACCCUUCGGGGAGCUAGCACAGGUGCUGCAUGGCUGUUGU